rnacentral:lncRNA from 1 species
GUCAGUAAUUUCUCCCCUAGCAAGAAUGAGGAAGAUGAAGAGCUCGGGUAUCUGAGGGCUGGUGUGUCUGCAUGCGUGUGUGUUUUGGGGGCCGACUGAAGGAAGAGAAGGCUGGAGAGAGGGAACAUGGGUCUGAGGGCACAUCGCUAAGGGGUCAAGAGGCCUAAAGGAGGAGUCUAAGGCUCUCCAUCGAACUUGGACUUGGUCUACAUUAGACUUUAACCUCCAUGAGGCUUGGACUUUCAGGCUUCCUCCCUCACACCGCGGGCAGGUGAGGCGUCUGCUACAGGCCUGGUCUCGCAGAGGGGGCCCAGCGCCCCCCGCCGCCGCCUUCUCCUGGAGUCUGUGUGACAGAAUGGGACCUGUGGGAAAGCAGCACGUCAGCACCCAGCCCCGCUUGCGCGCCAGCAGCUAAUUAAAGCCAGGAAGGUGAUGGCGAUUUUCAACUCAUUCCCGUUACAAACAGCCGACCUUCCUACCGAGUUCAAGUACCUUCUGCCUGGCCUGGAAGAACAAUAUCUCUCUGUCUCCCUCUUCCACUGGCCCUCACCUGCCUUCCCCUGAACAUGCAUUUUGCCUGACAGGAGACAGAGGCAGUUGAGAUGGAGUCUUGCUAUAUGGCCCAGCUGGUAAUGCCUAGAUUCUUGAGUCCCUCCCUGGCUCAUCCCUGGGAGCAGCACUGAACCCCUUGUCUGACACCUGUCUGGAAAUGGAGCCUGCACAUUGACCCUAGAUGCUUGCAGCUUGGUCCAGGAGGCCAGCAGGACCAGAGAGAAGACCACAGCGACACAUGGGGAUGGCUGUCCCACAGGCAGAAAUGAGCAGCCGGGAGGAAGCCCAGGCAGCCAGCCACCCAGCUCCCUCCACAUCGUGGCCCUAGAACGGAGUCUUGAAGAAUAAGAAGCCACAGCUUGUCAGGGAAUCAGGCUGGAAAAAUGUUAUGAGACUGAGUAAGACCAGAGAUUCCUCAGCAGUGCCUGGAGAAGACCAGGAGAGGAAGCAGAAGACCCUCCUCAAAGAAGCAGCCUUCACCUCCAGACCUCCCAGCGGGACUUAGACAAUGGGGUUAGGCAGUCACAUGUCUGCACGUGGAAACUUUCUGGGACUGUGCUUGGAUCCUGGCUCUGCCUUUUACUAGCCAUGUGACCUUGGGAAAAUCACUUGACUUCUCCGUGCAGGAUUCCUCAUCUGUAAAAAUGGUCUAAGAUUAGGAGCCACCUCAAGGUUGUUGUAGGAAUUAAAUUAAUUCAUGUUUAUAAAGUGCUUUGAACAGCGUUUGGCACAUGGUAAGUGCUAUGUGGUAAGUGCUGUCUAUUGAUUACAUAAAUAAAAGUGAUCACCAUUAGACUUUC